CCUCCUCCUCCUCCUAACUCACGAUGGAGGUAUAGGACUAGAAUAACGUCAUCAGGCCUUAUCAAUCAAUCAACCAAUCAAUUCAUCAAUCAAUAGAUUAUUAUAUAUGACCCUCUACACACUUCGUACCCUGUAUGUCCCCAUAAUAUGAACGAGAGAAGGAGAGGAGAUUGAGAGUCAGCACAAAAAACAGUCCAGCUCAACAACAACCCCUCAACCAGACCCGGAGAGCUGAAGGUGGAGAGAAACAUGUCUGCAACUGUAGACAAGCAGUAGAGGAGAGGAACAGACUGCUGGAGGAGGGGAACAGACUGCUGGAGGAGGGGAACAGACUGCUGGAGGAGAGGAACAGACUGCUGGAGGAGAGGAACAGACUGCUGGAGGAGAGGAACAGACUGCUGGAGGAGAGGAACAGACUGCUGGAGGAGGGGAACAGACUGCUGGAGGAGAGGAACAGACUGCUGGAGGAGAGGAACAGACUGCUGGAGGAGAGGAACAGACUGCUGGAGGAGAGGAACAGACUGCUGGAGGAGAGGAACAGACUGCUGGAGGAGAGGAACAGACUGUCUUGUGACAGAGAACAGCCCAUUACAGAGGUGGCCACCCCCGCAGAGAAGCCAGCAGAACAGCCCAUUAGAGAUACCUUAUAACUGGAGAUGACUUCAAAACGGUUGCCUACAGUUACCGUGUAGGACACUGCAAGGUCGGGUGACCAGGACACUGCAAGGUCGGGUGACCAGGGCACUGCACGGUCGGGUGACCAGGGCACUGCACGGUCGGGUGACCAGGGCACUGCACGGUCGGGUGACCAGGGCACUGCACGGUCGGGUGACCAGGGCACUGCACGGUCGGGUGACCAGGGCACUGCACGGUCGGGUGACCAGGGCACUGCACGGUCGGGUGACCAGGGCACUGCACGGUCGGGUGACCAGGGCACUGCACGGUCGGGUGACCAGGGCACUGCACGGUCGGGUGACC